GCGUCUGAUUAGCUAGUUGGUAGGGUAAAAGCCUACCAAGGCAUCGAUCAGUAGGGGACCUGAGAGGGUGAUCCCCCACACUGGUACUGAGACAGGGACCAGACUCCUACGGGAGGCAGCAGUAGGGAAUAUUGGGCAAUGGUGGACACACUGACCCAGCCAUGCCGCGUGCCGGAAGACGGCCCUCUGGGUUGUAAACGGCUUUUAAUCGGGAAGAAAAAGCUCCUUGCGAGGGGCCUUGACGGUACCGACAGAAUCAGCACCGGCUAACUCCGUGCCAGCAGCCGCGGUAAUACGGAGGGUGCGAGCGUUGUCCGGAUUUAUUGGGUUUAAAGGGUGCGUAGGCGGGAAGAUAAGUCAGGGGUGAAAGACGGCUGCUUAACAGUCGCAGUGCCCUUGAUAC
rnacentral:rRNA from 1 species